rnacentral:tRNA from 1 species
GGAGAGGUGCUGGAGUGGCCGAACAGGGCAGCCUGCUAAGCUGUUGUACGCCGCAAGGUGUACCGGGGGUUCGAAUCCCCCCCUCUCCG